UACGAAGGGGGCUAGCGUUGCUCGGAAUCACUGGGCGUAAAGGGUGCGUAGGCGGGUUUUUAAGUCAGAGGUGAAAUCCUGGAGCUCAACUCCAGAACUGCCUUUGAUACUGAAGAUCUUGAGUUCGGGAGAGGUGAGUGGAACUGCGAGUGUAGAGGUGAAAUUCGUAGAUAUUCGUAAGAACACCAGUGGCGAAGGCGGCUCACUGGCCCGAUACUGACGCUGAGGCACGAAAGCGUGGGGAGCGAACCGG
rnacentral:rRNA from 1 species